rnacentral:rRNA from 1 species
ACGCUGGCGGCGUGCCUAAUACAUGCAAGUCGAACGAGUUCUCGUUGAUGAUCGGUGCUUGCACCGAGAUUCAACAUGGAACGAGUGGCGGACGGGUGAGUAACACGUGGGUAACCUGCCCUUAAGUGGGGGAUAACAUUUGGAAACAGAUGCUAAUACCGCAUAGAUCCAAGAACCGCAUGGUUCUUGGCUGAAAGAUGGCGUAAGCUAUCGCUUUUGGAUGGACCCGCGGCGUAUUAGCUAGUUGGUGAGGUAAUGGCUCACCAAGGCGAUGAUACGUAGCCGAACUGAGAGGUUGAUCGGCCACAUUGGGACUGAGACACGGCCCAAACUCCUACGGGAGGCAGCAGUAGGGAAUCUUCCACAAUGGACGCAAGUCUGAUGGAGCAACGCCGCGUGAGUGAAGAAGGCUUUCGGGUCGUAAAACUCUGUUGUUGGAGAAGAAUGGUCGGCAGAGUAACUGUUGUCGGCGUGACGGUAUCCAACCAGAAAGCCACGGCUAACUACGUGCCAGCAGCCGCGGUAAUACGUAGGUGGCAAGCGUUAUCCGGAUUUAUUGGGCGUAAAGCGAGCGCAGGCGGUUUUUUAAGUCUGAUGUGAAAGCCCUCGGCUUAACCGAGGAAGCGCAUCGGAAACUGGGAAACUUGAGUGCAGAAGAGGACAGUGGAACUCCAUGUGUAGCGGUGAAAUGCGUAGAUAUAUGGAAGAACACCAGUGGCGAAGGCGGCUGUCUGGUCUGUAACUGACGCUGAGGCUCGAAAGCAUGGGUAGCGAACAGGAUUAGAUACCCUGGUAGUCCAUGCCGUAAACGAUGAAUGCUAGGUGUUGGAGGGUUUCCGCCCUUCAGUGCCGCAGCUAACGCAUUAAGCAUUCCGCCUGGGGAGUACGACCGCAAGGUUGAAACUCAAAGGAAUUGACGGGGGCCCGCACAAGCGGUGGAGCAUGUGGUUUAAUUCGAAGCAACGCGAAGAACCUUACCAGGUCUUGACAUCUUUUGAUCACCUGAGAGAUCAGGUUUCCCCUUCGGGGGCAAAAUGACAGGUGGUGCAUGGUUGUCGUCAGCUCGUGUCGUGAGAUGUUGGGUUAAGUCCCGCAACGAGCGCAACCCUUAUGACUAGUUGCCAGCAUUUAGUUGGGCACUCUAGUAAGACUGCCGGUGACAAACCGGAGGAAGGUGGGGAUGACGUCAAAUCAUCAUGCCCCUUAUGACCUGGGCUACACACGUGCUACAAUGGAUGGUACAACGAGUUGCGAGACCGCGAGGUCAAGCUAAUCUCUUAAAGCCAUUCUCAGUUCGGACUGUAGGCUGCAACUCGCCUACACGAAGUCGGAAUCGCUAGUAAUCGCGGAUCAGCACGCCGCGGUGAAUACGUUCCCGGGCCUUGUACACACCGCCCGUCACACCAUGAGAGUUUGUAACACCCGAAGCCGGUGGCGUAACCCUUUUAGGGAGCGAGCCGUCUAAGGUGGGACAAAUGAUUAGGGU